rnacentral:rRNA from 1 species
UGUAAGCGUAUACCAAAGUUGUUGCAGUUAAAACGCUCGUAGUCGGAAUUUGGCAGUUCCGGAUGUGUGCACGUCGUGUGCGCACUUCGCGGGGAUUGCUUUUGUGGUCUUGCGUAGGAUGAGGCACUUUUAUUAGUGAACGUCCUCACGCAACCACUUUUUACUGUGAGAAAAUCAGAGUGCUCAAAGCAGGCAUUUACCGUGAAUGUAUUAGCAUGGAAUAAUAGAAUAGGACUUGGUUCUAUUUUGUUGGUUCGUUGGGACUGAGUAAUGAUUAAGAGGGACAGUUGGGGGCAUUUGUAUUUCGGUGCUAGAGGUGAAAUUCUUAGAUUACCGAAAGACGAACUGCUGCGAAAGCGUCUGCCAAGGAUGUUUUCAUUGA